rnacentral:misc_RNA from 1 species
GAGAUGAACUCAAAAUUUAUAAAGUAUAUCCUCUUGGCUUGACACAGAGACAGGCAUUAUACUCCUUCAGAUUCAACGGGGAUACUGAGUUCAAGAAUUACAUCGAAAGUCACCCAUGUGCAAAAUUUGAAGCCAUUUUCGUAUAGUUGAAGUUUAGAAUUUUGCUUGUAUCAGAAUUGCAAGCCAUGGUGUAACUCUCUGUUCUUUGCGUGCGCCGUGUAUUGGUUCUGGAUCUUGCCAUAUGGAUGCAACCAGGGAGAGUCAGGAAGUGAUUGUUACAAAGGGUGAAUCUGAUAUUUGGUGUAAACUUCUCAUCCUUCACAUUUUCAAGCACGAGGAAGGUUAGGAAGGAUCAAAAUUUUCCCUUUUUAUGGGUAUGUCCAUAAAAUAACUUGUGAUUUUUAGUGCGGUGAGGAAUUCGCUAAGC